ACGGGUGAGUAACACGUAAGAAUUUACCUUUAGGAGGGGGAUAACAAUGAGAAAUUGCUGCUAAUACCCCAUAUGCUUUCGAGUGAAAUGGAUUUUUCCGCCUAAAGAGAAGCUUGCGUCUGAUUAGCUUGUUGGUAAGGUAAUGGCUUACCAAGGCGACGAUCAGUAUCUGGUUUGAGAGGAUGAUCAGACACACUGGAACUGAGACACGGUCCAGACUCCUCCGGGAGGCAGCAGUGGGGAAUUUUCCGCAAUGGGCGAAAGCCUGACGGAGCAAUCUCGCGUGAGGGAUGACGGCCUAUGGGUUGUAAACCUCUUUUUUCAGGGAGGAAUAAAAUGACGUGUACCUGAAGAAUAAGCAUCGGCUAACUCCGUGCCAGCAGCCGCGGUAAGACGGAGGAUGCAAGUGUUAUCCGGAAUCACUGGGCGUAAAGCGUCUGUAGGUGGUUUAGUAAGUCAACUGUUAAAUCUUGAAGCUUAACUUCAAAAUCGCAGUCGAAACUGCUA
rnacentral:rRNA from 1 species